GUGGGGGACAACAGUUGGAAACGACUGCUAAUACCGCAUAAUGGUGCCGGAGGGCAUCCUCCUGGGUACCAAAGCUUUAUGUGCUGAAAGAUGGUCUCGCGUCUGAUUAGCUAGUUGGUGGGGUAACGGCCCACCAAGGCGACGAUCAGUAGCCGGUCUGAGAGGAUGAACGGCCACAUUGGGACUGAGAUACGGCCCAGACUCCUACGGGAGGCAGCAGUGGGGAAUAUUGGGCAAUGGGCGAAAGCCUGACCCAGCAACGCCGCGUGAAGGAAGAAGGCCUUCGGGUUGUAAACUUCUUUUACCAGGGACGAACAAAUGACGGUACCUGGAGAAAAAGCAACGGCUAACUACGUG
rnacentral:rRNA from 1 species